CUAACACAUGCAAGUCGAGGGGCAUCGGGAUUGAAGCUUGCUUCAAUUGCCGGCGACCGGCGCACGGGUGCGUAACGCGUAUGUAACCUACCUAUAACAGGGGCAUAACACUGAGAAAUUGGUACUAAUUCCCCAUAAUAUUCGGAGAGGCAUCUCUCCGGGUUGAAAACUCCGGUGGUUAUAGAUGGACAUGCGUUGUAUUAGCUAGUUGGUGAGGUAACGGCUCACCAAGGCAACGAUACAUAGGGGGACUGAGAGGUUAACCCCCCACACUGGUACUGAGACACGGACCAGACUCCUACGGGAGGCAGCAGUGAGGAAUAUUGGUCAAUGGACGCAAGUCUGAACCAGCCAUGCCGCGUGCAGGAAGACGGCUCUAUGAGUUGUAAACUGCUUUUGUACGAGGGUAAACUCACCUACGUGUAGGUGACUGAAAGUAUCGUACGAAUAAGGAUCGGCUAACUCCGUGCCAGCAGCCGCGGUAAUACGGAGGAUUCAAGCGUUAUCCGGAUUUAUUGGGUUUAAAGGGUGCGUAGGCGGUUUGAUAAGUUAGAGGUGAAAUCCCGGGGCUUAACUCCGGAACUGCCUCUAAUACUGUUAGACUAGAGAGUAGUUGCGGUAGGCGGAAUGUAUGGUGUAGCGGUGAAAUGCUUAGAGAUCAUACAGAACACCGAUUGCGAA
rnacentral:rRNA from 1 species